UACGUAGGGAGCAAGCGUUGUCCGGAUUUAUUGGGCGUAAAGCGCGUGUAGGCGGCUUGACAAGUCUGCUGUGAAAGUCCAGGGCUCAACCCUGGAAUGCCGGUGGAAACUGUCAAGCUAGAGUCCGGAAGAGGCGAGUGGAAUUCCUGGUGUAGCGGUGAAAUGCGCAGAUAUCAGGAGGAACACCAAUGGCGAAGGCGGCUCGCUGGGACGGUACUGACGCUGAGACGCGAAAGCGUGGGGAGCAAACAGG
rnacentral:rRNA from 1 species